rnacentral:rRNA from 1 species
AACGAACGCUGGCGGCAUGCCUAACACAUGCAAGUCGAACGAGACCUUCGGGUCUAGUGGCGCACGGGUGCGUAACGCGUGGGAACCUGCCCUUAGGUUCGGAAUAACUCCCCGAAAGGGGUGCUAAUACCGGAUAAUGUCUUCGGACCAAAGAUUUAUCGCCUUUGGAUGGGCCCGCGUUGGAUUAGCUAGUUGGUAGGGUAAAAGCCUACCAAGGCGACGAUCCAUAGCUGGUCUGAGAGGAUGAUCAGCCACACUGGGACUGAGACACGGCCCAGACUCCUACGGGAGGCAGCAGUGGGGAAUAUUGGACAAUGUGCGAAAGCCUGAUCCAGCAAUGCCGCGUGAGUGAUGAAGGCCUUAGGGUUGUAAAGCUCCUUUACCCGGGAUGAUAAUGACAGUACCGGGAGAAUAAGCUCCGGCUAACUCCGUG